rnacentral:misc_RNA from 1 species
UUUCCGUAGGUGAACCUGCGGAAGGAUCAUUACAGUGUUCCCUGCCCUUCGGGGUAGGAUCGCCACCCUUGAUUAUUUAUAAGUGUUGCUUUGGCGGGCCUCGCGGCCUGGCCGCGCCCCGGCUUCGGCGGGGGAGCGCCCGCCAGAGGAUUCUACAAACCUGAUUAUUAGUGUCGUCUGAGUACUAUAUAAUAGUUAAAACUUUCAACAACGGAUCUCUUGGUUCUG